GGUAGCGUGGCCGAACGGUCUAAGGCGCUGGUUUUAAGGUACCAGUCUCUUCGGAGGCGUGGGUUCUAUUCCCACCGCUGCCA
rnacentral:tRNA from 1 species